rnacentral:lncRNA from 1 species
UACGGGCGUGAGCCACUGCUCCCAGUCCCACCCUUUGGAUUUUAUCACUUCACCAGAGUUAGUCACUGGGGGAUUUUUUUGUGUGUGUCAUCUAUUGAUUCAGUGAAUUCUUUGCCAAAUAUUUAUUCACAGCUAACUUUGUACUAGGCACUAUGCUUAGGGCUGCAUUCUGAGUAGUGAAUGGGGUAGAUAUGGUCCCUGCUCUCACAGAGCCUAUAGUCUAGAGGAGAAAGUAAACAAUUAAGUAAUUAUAGUGAAAGU